CCUACGGGAGGCAGCAGUGAGGAAUAUUGGUCAAUGGACGCGAGUCUGAACCAGCCAAGUAGCGUGAAGGAUGACUGCCCUACGGGUUGUAAACUUCUUUUAUAAAGGAAUAAAAUGAGGCACGUGUGCCUUUUUGCAUGUACUUUAUGAAUAAGGAUCGGCUAACUCCGUGCCAGCAGCCGCGGUAAUACGGAGGAUCCGAGCGUUAUCCGGAUUUAUUGGGUUUAAAUGGAGCGUAGAUGGGUUGUUAAGUCAGUUGUGAAAGUUUGCGGCUCAACCGUAAAAUUGCAAUUGAUACUGGCAGUCUUGAGUACAGUUGAGGUAGGCGGAAUUCGUGGUGUAGCGGUGAAAUGCUUAGAUAUCACGAAGAACCCCGAUUGCGAAGGCAGCCUACUAAACUGUGACUGACAUUGAUGCUCGAAAGUGUGGGUAUCAAACAGGAUUAGAUACCCGAGUAGUC
rnacentral:rRNA from 1 species